UGUAUUUUAUGUCGUAAAAGUGAUAAUGAAGAUCGGUUGUUACUAUGUGAUGCUUGUGAUCGCGGUUGCCAUAUGUACUGCUGCAAGCAAUAUCGUAUACCAAGCCACUGUAAGUUCUGGUGAUCCUCAAUGCAAAGAUAAAGUUUAUUUCGGUAUAAGUGAAACCACAUUUAAAUUAAGAUAUGCCAACCAUCUUAAAUCUUUCAAUGCACCCAAAUAUAAAAAUGACACUGAACUUUCCAAAGAAAUAUGGGAGCUAAAAUCGAAACAUAUAAAUCCUGUGAUUAUAUAGAAGAUAAUAGCACAAUGUAAGCCCUACAAUCAAGCAUCAAAAGUUUGUAAUCUUUGUCUCCGCGAGAAGUUUCACAUAUUAUCAUAUAAAGGAGAAAACUUACUUAAUAAAAGAUAUGAAAUAAUAUCAAAGUGCCGGCA